CAGCCGCCGCGGUAAUACGAAGGGUGCAAGCGUUACUCGGAAUUACUGGGCGUAAAGCGUGCGUAGGUGGUUGUUUAAGUCUGCUGUGAAAGCCCUGGGCUCAACCUGGGAAUUGCAGUGGAUACUGGGCGACUAGAGUAAGGUAGAGGAUAGUGGAAUUUCCGGUGUAGCAGUGAAAUGCGUAGAGAUCGGAAGGAACAUCUGUGGCGAAGGCGACUAUCUGGGCCAUUACUGACACUGAGGCACGAAAGCGUGGGGAGCAAACAGGAUUAGAUACCCCGGUAGUCCCUGUCUCUUAUAC
rnacentral:rRNA from 1 species